UAUGUCCAACUCCAUGCCUUAGAUCUUCUUUUAAAACAUGAUUAAUGGCCUUUUUUUUUUCUAAUUUAACAUUAAUUGGAUGACACAAUCUGGAUAUAGAAUAGGAAUGGUCUCCUUCAUCGUCCGUGAAUCAGAGCGCGGCCCCCACCACCGCUUGAGCUUGCAGCCACCGCUGCUUUGUGCCUUCCUAUUCUCAGUCACUGCCACCGUUGAGGUACUAUGGAUGAAGAUACCUUUGAAAUCCAGCUCCAACGGUUCCGGGAUAGUAUACAAGAAGCAAGCAACAAAAUGGAAUACAAUUUCUUUUUAUUGAAUGAGCUGGCCAGGUUCUGCCCGAAAGGAUUAAGUUAAUCCAAUCUCAGCGGUGGGAUGUAAUAGAAGAAUAUGAAAAAUUAGAGUCAGGGCAACCUGUGACGGUGAGUCCAUGGGUAGACUGUGCUGGACCAUGCGUAUCUUUCGACAAUUGCAACUUUAACUGUCAUAAUUUGGGAUACAAAAGUGGGGCUUUCUGUGCAUUUUUCACUUGUUGUUGUUUUAGAAAUUGAUACACUUUGUACUCUUGAGUAGUGCAUGCCCUCAAAUAAAUGAAUAAAAAACAUUUGCAAUAGUUUUGGUAUAGGGCUGAUUAUCGGGAUUAAAUAUGUUUUAAGUUUUU